rnacentral:rRNA from 1 species
UUGUAAUUUGCAGAGGAUGUUUCGGGUGAGGCCGCGGUCCAAGUCCCUUGGAACAGGACGUCAUAGAGGGUGAGAACCCCGUACCUGGCCGCCGGCUGCCCCCGCUGUGAAACUCCUUCGACGAGUCGAGUUGUUUGGGAAUGCAGCUCUAAAUUGGUGGUAAAUUCCAUCUAAAGCUAAAUACCGGCCAGAGACCGAUAGCGCACAAGUAGAGUGAUCGAAAGAUGAAAAGCACUUUGAAAAGAGAGUUAAAAAGUACGUGAAAUUGUUGAAAGGGAAGCGCUUGCGGCCAGACUUGCCCGCGGUUGCUCAGCCCGCCCUCUGGCGGGUGCACUCUUCCGCGGUCAGGCCAGCAUCGGUUUGGGCGGUCGGACAAAGGCGCCGGGAACGUGGCCUCCCCUCGGGGAGGUGUUAUAGCCCGGUGCGCAAUGCGGCCAGCCCGGACCGAGGUUCGCGCUCUGCUAGGAUGCUGGCGUAAUGGCCGUAAGCGGCCCGUCUUGAAACACGGACCAAGGAGUCUAACAUCUAUGCGAGUGUUUGGGUGUCAAACCCGUGCGCGUAAUGAAAGUGAACGGAGGUGGGAACCGCAAGGUGCACCAUCGACCGAUCCCGAUGUCUUCGGAAGGAUUUGAGUAAGAGCAUAGCUGUUGGGACCCGAAAGAUGGUGAACUAUGCGUGAAUAGGGUGAAGCCAGAGGAAACUCUGGUGGAGGCUCGCAGCGGUUCUGACGUGCAAAUCGAUCGUCAA